CCAGACUCCUACGGGAGGCAGCAGUGGGGAAUAUUGGGCAAUGGACGCAAGUCUGACCCAGCAACGCCGCGUGAAGGAAGAAGGCUUUCGGGUUGUAAACUUCUUUUAAGGGGGAAGAGCAGAAGACGGUACCCCUUGAAUAAGCCACGGCUAACUACGUGCCAGCAGCCGCGGUAAUACGUAGGGGGCAAGCGUUAUCCGGAUUCACUGGGUGUAAAGGGAGCGUAGACGGCGACGCAAGUCUGGAGCGAAAGCCCGGGGCCCAACCCCGGGACUGCUCUGGAAACUGCGUCGCUGGAGUGCGGGAGGGGCAGGCGGAAUUCCUGGUGUAGCGGUGAAAUGCGUAGAUAUCAGGAGGAACACCGGCGGCGAAGGCGGCCUGCUGGACCGUGACUGACGUUGAGGCUCGAGAGCGUGGGGAGCAAACAGGAUUAGAUACCCCCGUA
rnacentral:rRNA from 1 species